GACGAACGCUGGCGGCGUGCUUAACACAUGCAAGUCGAACGGAAAGGCCCUGCUUUUGUGGGGUGCUCGAGUGGCGAACGGGUGAGUAACACGUGAGUAACCUGCCCUUGACUUUGGGAUAACUUCAGGAAACUGGGGCUAAUACCGGAUAGGAGCUCCUGCUGCAUGGUGGGGGUUGGAAAGUUUCGGCGGUUGGGGAUGGACUCGCGGCUUAUCAGCUUGUUGGUGGGGUAGUGGCUUACCAAGGCUUUGACGGGUAGCCGGCCUGAGAGGGUGAACGGCCACAAUGGGACUGAGAUACGGCCCAGACUCCUACGGGAGGCAGCAGUGGGGAAUAUUGCACAAUGGGCGGAAGCCUGAUGCAGCAACGCCGCGUGCGGGAUGACGGCCUUCGGGUUGUAAACCGCUUUCGCCUGUGACGAAGCGUGAGUGACGGUAAUGGGUAAAGAAGCACCGGCUAACUACGUG
rnacentral:rRNA from 1 species